ACCCAGAACCCCAUCUUCUGACGCCUAGUCCAGUGCUAUCUCCAAGGGUGCUAAGCCGUGACAAGCUCCCAGGAAGCUGCCUAGGGCUGA
rnacentral:miRNA from 1 species